CCCGGGGCGGCGGCCUAAUAAUGCAGUCGAGCGGAACUCGAUUAAAAUCUGUGCUUCUAUAGAAGUGAGCGGCGGAUGGGUGAGUAUCCGAGCGCAACCUGCCUGUAAGAAUGGGAUAACUUCGGGACGCGAUACUAAUACCGGAUAGGAUCUUCUCCUUCAUGGGAUAUGAUUGCUUGAUGGUUUCGACUAUCACAUACCUAAGGGCCCGCGGUGCAUUAUCUAGGCUGGUGAGGUAACGGCUCACCAAGGCAACGAUGCAUAACCGACCUGACAGGGUGAUCUGGCCACACUGGGACUGACACACGGCCCACACUCCUACGGGAUUUUGGAUAUGGAAUCUUCCCUGAGGACGAAAGUCUGACGGAUGACGCCGCGUGAGUGAUGAAGGCUUUCGGGUCGUAAAACUCUGUUGUUGUGAAGAACAUCUACGGCAGUAACUGCUCGUACCUUGACGGUACCUAACCAAAAAGCCACCGCUAACUACGUGCCAACAUCCGCGGUAAUACUUAAGUGGAAAGCGUUAUCCGGAAUUAUUGGGCGUAAAGCUCGCGCAUGCGGUUUCUUAUCUCUGAUGUCAAACCCCACAGUUCAACCGAGAAUGGUCAGUGAAAACUGGGGAAAUUGAGUGCGAAUUACACGUGCAGAAUUCCACUUGUAACAGUGAAAUGCGUACAGAUGUGGAGGAACACCCCUGCUGAAUGCAGAUUGAUGCUCUUGCACUGACGCGUGAGGCACCAAAGCGUAUUAGAGCACCCUGGAUUCCAUACCCUGAUACUAUACGCAGUAAACGACGAGUGCUAAUUGUUUGGGGUUUCCGCCCAUUCGUGCUGCAGCUAACCCGUUAAGCACUCCCCCUGGAUAGUACGGUCAAGGAACUGAAGGUCACACGCACUAACGGGGGAUCACACGAACGAUGCAGCAUGAGCGUUAAUUCCAUGCACCACCCAUGACCUUACCAGGAUCAUCGACAUACAUCUGACACUCUCCAGAUAGAACGCUCCACCUUCGGGGCACAAAGUC
rnacentral:rRNA from 2 species